CCUACGGGAGGCAGCAGUGGGGAAUAUUGCUCAAUGGGCGCAACCCUGAUGCAGCGACGCCGCGUGAGUGAAGAAGUAUUUCUGGAUGUAAAGCUCUUUUAGUAGGGCAGAAAAUGACGGUACCUGCAUAAGAAGCCCCGGCUAACUACGUGCCAGCAGCCGCGGUAAUACGCCGGGGGCAAGCGUUAUCCGGAUUGAUUGGGGGUAAAGGGAUCGUAGACGGCAUCGCAAGUCAGAAGUGAAAUGCCGGGGCUUAACCCCGGAAGUGCAUUGGAAACUGGGAAGCUAGAGUGCAGGAGAGGUAAGUGGAAUUCCUGGUGUAGCGGUGAAAUGCGUAGAUAUUAGGAGGAACACCAGUGGCGAAGGCGGCUUACUGGACUGUAACUGACGUUGAGGCACGAAAGCGUGGGGAGCAAACAGGAUUAGAUACCCCUGUAGUC
rnacentral:rRNA from 1 species